AAGUGAGCUUCGAUGCAUCCGAUGAUGAAGCUGCAUAGGGCAGAUUCUGAGCUGGGAGCUGCGGUUCCCGAACGCUGAUCUUCCGUUUAUGCGGACUGAGGAUGCGACUCGGGGU